UUGGAAUGUGGCUCUUCGGAGUGUUAUAGCCUUCGGUGCCAUGCUGCCUCCCGGGACUGAGGACCGCGCUUCGGCUAGGAUGCUGGCGUAAUGAUUGUAAGCGACCCGUCUUGAAACACG
rnacentral:rRNA from 1 species